GGGGGGGGGGGGUUAGAGUAUCAUACUUAUACUCUAGAUCAAGUAUGGUAUGCAUAUAAUAUAUAUAUUUUUAUAUUUUUUUGGUGAAUGAUCAAUUUAAAUCUUUUCCAGUACAUUAAGUUUCCAUGACUUAUUUUAUAUAUAUGUUACAGAAAAAACGAUUGCAAUGCCAAAUAUUCAUGAGAAGACCUUGCUCAUGAAUGUUUAUGGCAUGCAUUAUUUUAUUAUUAAGUGUGAUUGAAAUUUUGCAUACUGAUAAUUAACACAGUGAUUAAUUUAUAGAUGAGUGUCUAUCUCUCAGAUGUUAUACAUGUAGUACUACAUACAUUACCCUCAUUCAAAAUUCAAAAACGUCUUGUAGAAUAAAUGACCGUUCAGAUGUUACUUAGUAGUCCUAUUAGCAGAUGGAUAGGUUAGGUGUCAAAAUUGCAAGUUGGGACAUACAUGUAUACUGUAUAUUUCAAAAUCCAGGUUUUUUUUAAAACCAAGUUUCAGGGAGCAAGAGAAAACUGAAUUUAUACUACAGGUAGAUUGUAGAAAGGUCUAAAAACCCGGGGAAGGGUGUACAAAUUCUGUUAAUGAUUUAGGACUUUUACUUGUUUUAUAGUAUUGUAGUCAUUUAGUUUUUAUAUCUACGACUUUUGUGUUUCUUUUUCCAAGUCUUAAAAUAGAUCUGAAUGCAUUGUACAAAUAGCAUAAUAUUAUUCUUGCUUUUAAAUUAGUGUUUAAGCUUUAAUUAAAAGGUGAUUUUGAACUAAAUCUUGUCAGAUUCUAUACAAAAUCAUUACCAAUGGUCUUAUUUUUACUGCAUUAUGCCAUUUUAUAUUCAAUUCUUUUAUCAAUGACCGAAUGUUUGUUGAGGUUUAUUCUUGGAAGUUGCAAUCUGUAUUAUUGUAUUUAUUUGCUGUUAUAUUGAAAUGAAUAAAGACAGUCUGUAUUGUG
rnacentral:sRNA from 1 species